rnacentral:rRNA from 1 species
UACGAAAUGUGCGCACGUUAUUCGGAAUCACUGGGCUUACAGGGUGCGUAGGCGGCUUAACAAGUCAGGUGUGAAAGCCCACGGCUCAACCGUGGAAUUGCGCUUGAACCUGUUCGGCUUGAGUAAGCUAGAGGUAUGCGGAACUUCCGGUGGAGCGGUGAAAUGUGUUGAUAUCGGAAGGAACACCAGAGGCGAAAGCGGCAUACUGGGGCUUGUCUGACGCUGAGGCACGAAAGCCAGGGGAGCUAACGGG